UGAAAUCUCACCAGGCCCGGACACUGGAAGGAUUGACAGAUUGAUAGCUCUUUCUUGAUUCGGUGCGUGGUGGUGCAUGGCCGUUCUUAAUUGGUUGAGUGAUUUGUCUUGUUAAUUCCGAUAACGAACGAGACUCUGUCCUGCUAAAUAGUGUCUGCUUCUCUUUCGAGCAGACAAUUCUUCUUAGAGGGACUAUAUGUGUUAAGCAUAUGGAAGUUUGAGGCAAUAA
rnacentral:rRNA from 1 species